rnacentral:tRNA from 1 species
GCGGGUGUAGUUCAGUGGUAGAACACCAGCUUCCCAAGCUGGAUACGAGGGUUCGAUUCCCUUCACCCGCU